AUUGAACGCUGGCGGCAGGCUUAACACAUGCAAGUCGAACGAGUGGCGGACGGGUGAGUAAUGCAUCGGAAUGUAGCUUAUGGAGGGGGAUAACUACGGGAAACUGUAGCUAAUACCGCGUACCAUAGGAUGAGCCCAAGUGGGAUUAGGUAGUUGGUGAGGUAAAGGCUCACCAAGCCGACGAUCUCUAGCUGGUCUGAGAGGAUGAUCAGCCACACUGGGACUGAGACACGGCCCAGACUCCUACGGGAGGCAGCAGUGGGGAAUAUUGGACAAUGGGCGAAAGCCUGAUGCAGCCAUGCCGCGUGUAUGAAGAAGGCCUUAGGGUUGUAAAGUACUUUCAGCGGGGAGGCGUUACCCGCAGAAUAAGCACCGGCUAACUCCGUGCCAGCAGCCGCGGUAAUAC
rnacentral:rRNA from 1 species